ACUUAAAGUAUAAAAAUAAAAGUAAUGUAAGGAGAAAAAAAAUGCCAUUAAGAACAUAAGCUUAGGCCACGCCACAGGGGCCCACAGUGCACUACCCCACCUCCCCAAAAAACAUUUUUAUAAAGGCCAUAAUGACUUUAAUGUUAUAUUAAAAUCAUCCCUGCAAACU